rnacentral:rRNA from 1 species
AUGAAAGCUGGCGGCGUGCCUAAUUCCUGCCAGUCGAGCGGACCGACGAGGAGCUUGCCCCCCCGACCGUUACGGCCGGCGGGUGAGUUACAAGUGGGUUAACUAACUUUUAGAACGGGGUAACCUUGGGGAAACGGAGCUUAUAACCGGAAAUAUAUUGAAACGCAUGGGUCAAUAAUUAAAGAAGGGUUUGGUGUUACCUUUAGAUUGAUCCGCGCCGCAUUAGCUAGUUGGUAAGGUAACGGCUUACCAAGGCAACGAUGCGUAGCCGACCUGAGAGGGUGAUCGGCCACACUGGAACUGAGACACGGUCCAGACUCCUACGGGAGGCAGCAGUAGGGAAUCUUCCGCAAUGGGCGAAAGCCUGACGGAGCAACGCCGCGUGAGUGAUGAAGGUCUUCGGAUCGUAAAACUCUGUUAUUAGGGAAGAACAAAUGUGUAAGUAACUAUGCACGUCUUGACGGUACCUAAUCAGAAAGCCACGGCUAACUACGUG